GCCUACGGGGGGCAGCAGUGAGGAAUAUUGGUCAAUGGUCGGGAGACUGAACCAGCCAAGCCGCGUGAGGGAUGAAGGUACAGAGUAUCGUAAACCUCUUUUGUCAGGGAACAAAGGCGGGGACGCGUCCCCGGAUGAGGGUACCUGAAGAAAAAGCAUCGGCUAACUCCGUGCCAGCAGCCGCGGUAAUACGGAGGAUGCGAGCGUUAUCCGGAUUUAUUGGGUUUAAAGGGUGCGCAGGCGGUCUGGUAAGUCAGCGGUCAAAGCCCGGGGCUCAACCCCGGCCCUGCGUUGAA
rnacentral:rRNA from 1 species